rnacentral:rRNA from 1 species
AAAUUGAAGAGUUUGAUCAUGGCUCAGAUUGAACGCUGGCGGCAGGCCUAACACAUGCAAGUCGAACGGUAACAGGAAGCAGCUUGCUGCUUUGCUGACGAGUGGCGGACGGGUGAGUAAUGUCUGGGAAACUGCCUGAUGGAGGGGGAUAACUACUGGAAACGGUAGCUAAUACCGCAUAACGUC